rnacentral:rRNA from 1 species
CGGAGGGGCGUAGCGUUGUUCGGAAUUACUGGGCGUAAAGCGCACGUAGGCGGACUGGAAAGUCAGGGGUGAAAUCCCGGGGCUCAACCCCGGAACUGCCUUUGAAACUCCCAGUCUUGAGGUCGAGAGAGGUGAGUGGAAUUCCGAGUGUAGAGGUGAAAUUCGUAGAUAUUCGGAGGAACACCAGUGGCGAAGGCGGCUCACUGGCUCGAUACUGACGCUGAGGUGCGAAAGCGUGGGGGAGCAAACAGGAUU